AGCAGGAUGACAAUGAGGAGGAGGAAGUGAAGGGGUCGAGGAAGCGCACUAAAAAAGUGAUUCCAGAGGAUUUUGUAUCAGAUGUUACAGAUUCAGAUGAGGAAAGAUCCAAUGGUUUUGAGCUGCCCAACUACCCUGCUCCACCGACAAAACUGCAGCCCAUUCAGGGCACACCCAUACUAGAUAAUGCAUGUGAGUACUGAUGACAAUUUAUAAAGCAUGGUAAUGUGUUGUAUCGACAAAAUGAUAGUACGGGCUGAUUUGGAUGUGUUUCAGUCUCUGGAGAUGAAGACAUAGUG